GGUACAUGGAUGAGAAAGGAAUGAAGGACAUGCACAGCCUUAUCAGCCAGAUGCAGCCUGACCUGUUGAGUACUUCCAGCAUUUCUGUUCUCAUUACCCAGAACCAAACUGACCUAUCGAAUAAAAACAUAAUAAACAAUGAAGAUAAAU